UCAAAGAUUAAGCCAUGCAAGUGAAAGUAUAUGCAUAUUUGAUAUGUAGAAACUGCGAACGGCUCAUUAAAACAGUUAUAAUCUACUUGACAUUUUUUUUUGUAUAAGGAUAACUACGGAAAAUCUGUAGCUAAUACUUGUUUGAAAGUGUUAUGCCACUUUCGAGUGGUGUAACAUGGUACUUGUUAGUUCUUAUAAAAAUUUUUAUUCAACAUAAUGAAUUAUAACAACGAAGUGACACAUAUCCAUCGUUUACUCGAGUGGUUUAGUGUGCAUCAAUCGAGUUUCUGACCUAUCAGCUUUUGAUGUUAAGAUAUAGGCUUAACAUGGCUAUGACGGGUAACGGGGAAUUAGAGUUCGAUUCCGGAGAGGGAGCCUGAGAAACGGCUACCACAUCUAAGGAAGGCAGCAGGCGCGUAAAUUACCCAAUUCUAACGAAGAGAGGUAGUGACAAGGAAUAAUAGGACAAGACUGUUUUACAGUUUUGUAUCUGUGCUGAUAGGAAUUUAAACGUUUCCUAGAAUUCUAUUGGAGGGCAAGUCUGGUGCCAGCAGCCGCGGUAAUUCCAGCUCCAAUAGCGUAUAUUAAAAUUGUUGCAGUUAAAACGCUCGUAGUUGAAUUUUGUGUGGUCAAAAAGUGAGAGUUUCCUAAUCGUGAACAUUAGAAAUUGGGAGGGGUGUCGUUCUGUAAUAUGUAAUGACUAACCUUUUGAUUUUUUUUCCCUUCUACGCAUUUUGUCCUCUUACACAAUGGACCACUAUUAACGUUCACUACUACUAUAUUUGAUAUAUGUUAGUUAGUUACGUUAGUUACUUUGAGUAAAUUAGAGUGUUUAAAGCAAACAUUUAAAGCAUUUUUUGAAUGUGUUUGAAUACUAUAGCAUGGAAUAACAAUAUUGAGCAAACCGAGAAUUUUUUUUGCUUCGGCAUAAAUUUUUAAUUUUGGUUUAGUUACGAUUAAUAGGAGUAGUUUUUGGGGGCAUUUGUAUUCAGAUGUUAGAGGUGAAAUUCUUAGAUUUUCUGGAGACAAACUACUGCGAAAGCAUUUGCCUACUAUACUUCCAUUAAUCAAGAACGAAAGUUAAGGGAGUGAAGACGAUCAGAUACCGUCGUAAUCUUAACCAUAAACCAUACCGACUAGGUUUUGGAUGAUUUUGAAACAUGGUUAUUUUUGUUUAUCGUUAUUGCUUCGGCAGUUCGAUAGGACAAAAACCGAGUGCAUCGUUCAGUACCUUAUGAGAAAUCAAAGUUUUUGGGUUCUGGGGCGAGUAUUCGCGCAAGCGAGAAAGUUAAAAGAAUUGACGGAAGGGCACCACCAGGCGUGGAGCUUGCGGCUUAAUUUGACUCAACACGGGAAACCUCACUAGUUUAAGACAAGAGUAGGAUUGACAGAUUGAUAGCUCUUUCUUGAUUUCUUGGAUGGUGAUGCAUGGCCGUUUUUAGUUCGUGAAUUUUGAUUUGUCUGGUUAAUUCCGAUAACGAACGAGACCUUACUUUGUUAAUUAGCGGUUUGUACGUUGUGUCUACCAUGUUUAGGAUAAUUUGAAUGUGCAUAAUUUCUUGUUUAUUACUAAUAUUCAAAUAUUAUUUGCAUUACUAAUUUUUCUGUGACAUUUUAGACGUACCUACUAAAAUUUGAAGCUUCUUAGAGGAACGAUGUGCGUUUAGCAC
rnacentral:rRNA from 1 species